UCACCCUGGGCCUGUGUCAACAUCAUUUUGCGCCUAAAAACGCACCGCGAUAAUAAGUUGGAAACUCCAGUGUGCUAUUCGGCCAGAGAGGAAAACAAAGGAAACAGAGCUUAUGCCACGUAAAUAAGGUCAGAGGCUGAUAACCUAUAUGAUCACACUCGUGUUAAACUAAAAUCCCACAGUGACACAUCCGCGCAGAAUACCGUUCGCGUGCCAAAUCCGAUGAUGGCCAGAGCCCGAAAACUGCACGCGCCUAAUCCACCCAGAAAGAGUUUAAGCGCGUGCUAAUGAGCCACAAAAUCUGAAUUUCAUCUUGAUAAAAAAAAAAAAAGUCCUAUAAACCUGUUUACAGUACUGGACCGAAACAAAGCAUCCUCGCGCAGAGCGAGCGACGCUCCUCGCGCUCCAUCCUCCCGGUGCGUCACAGCUGUCCCAGCUCCGCGAGGGAGCCGAGCUGGACCUGUGCACGAGAGCAUACGGCGGUAACGUUAGCUUUAUGUGCUGUUUGGAACAGAACACGGUUGUUUACAAGCAGCCACGGGGAGUAUAAGCAGUAGCUGCUCGCCUCAGGGGACCGCAAACGCGUCCCUGCAUCCCCGGUCCUAAUCUCCGCCAGCAUCCACUAACCUUUACCCACAGCAAUCCACUCACGAGCCUAACUCGGAUUUAAAAAAAAAAAAAAAACACAGCACGUGUGCGUAGUUUUCCGCCAAAUGACAGGGAGCUACAGUGUGCCCUAACUCAGGGACAGUGAGCCAACCGGACCGGGGGCUGAGGGCUCCUCUGUAAUGCGCGGAGACAUUCAAAAUGCACGGAGGCGAGCGGCUGCUGAUGCGAAACUAGAAACAGAACACCUCGAAACUGGAAUUAAAGGUUGGCAUUUCACGCUCAAGGAGAGGCAAAACUCUCACUUCUAACAAAAAAAAACAACUUUUGCUGCAUUCGUGGUGAAUUUCGCCGAGCACCAGCUCCAACCGACCGCCGCUGUCCGGAGUCAGUGACAAGGAUGCCGCCGGCGGGACCAGAGGAUGCUGCUCCACAAUCAACACAGCUCGGCCUUCAUUCCACAGCUUUUGCUCCGGCCACAGCCUCACAAUUCAUCCCCACACAACCUGAUGGUCCAGUGUGAAAGAUUUAGGGGAGCUCUGUUGGCAGAAAUGGAAUAAAAUAUUCAUAGGUAUGUUUUCAUUUGUGUAUAAUCACCUGAAAAUAAGAAUUGUUGUGUUUUCGCUACCUUAGAAUGAUCUGUUUUCAUCUACAGGGUCCUCCAUGUAGACCGCCAUGUUUCUGCAUAUCAGACAAACAAAUAAAGGAACUUUUGUGUUUUU